rnacentral:tRNA from 1 species
UCCUCGGUAGCGCAAUUGGUACAGAAUCUGCCUGCAAUGCAGGAGACCCAGGUUCGAUUCCUGGGUCAGGAA